AAACAGUAACUAGUUUCUACUCUAAAGUACAAAAUUGAAACUUGGUCCUUGAAAUUCAAAGUUUACUAUAAAGAACCUUUAGGAUAUCACAGAAUUGACUCCAGCGUGGAAUGUCUUAAGGAUCUGUAUUAGUGUCAAGUAAACUUCUUACAGCCCAUGUCAAAUUUGAUUGAAGAGAGGAUGUUGAAAUAUUAACCCUUU